GGAGGAUCUCCAGCUUGUCAUCACCUUCUGCCGCCGGAGCAGGCACAGUAGUCGCCGGGAAUACUUCACGGCUCAUCGGAAUGAGGUCUUGAAGAAUUGGCAUUUGAUGGGCAAAUUAAGAUGAAUAGGAGAUGCUAGGAACGAGGAGCGUGACAU